rnacentral:rRNA from 1 species
AGUGAACGCUGGCGGUAGGCCUAACACAUGCAAGUCGAACGGCAGCACAGUAAGAGCUUGCUCUUACGGGUGGCGAGUGGCGGACGGGUGAGGAAUACAUCGGAAUCUACUUUUUCGUGGGGGAUAACGUAGGGAAACUUACGCUAAUACCGCAUACGACCUACGGGUGAAAGCAGGGGAUCUUCGGACCUUGCGCGAUUGAAUGAGCCGAUGUCGGAUUAGCUAGUUGGCGGGGUAAAGGCCCACCAAGGCGACGAUCCGUAGCUGGUCUGAGAGGAUGAUCAGCCACACUGGAACUGAGACACGGUCCAGACUCCUACGGGAGGCAGCAGUGGGGAAUAGUGGACAAUGGGCGCAAGCCUGGUCCAGCCAUACCGCGUGGGUGAAGAAGGCCUUCGGGUUGUAAAGCCCUUUUGUUGGGAAAGAAAAGCAGCAGGUUAAUACCCCGCUGUUCUGACGGUACCCAAAGAAUAAGCACCGGCUAACUUCGUG